UACUAGUUUCCUAGUCAGUCCCAUUAGAGUGCUUUCAUUUCUGAAAUAGCAACUAAUGGCAGGGGUUGCGCUCGUUAGAGGACUUAACCUAACAUCUCACGACACGAGCUGACGACAGCCAUGCAGCACCUGUGUAAUUGUCUGGGUUUCCCCAGAAAGUCACAUCUCUGUGACGAUCAAAUACAUGUCAAACCUAGGUAAGGUUUCUCGCGUAGUGUCGAAUUAAACCACAUGUUCCACCGCUUGUGCGGACCCCCGUCAAUUUCUUUGAGUUUUAAUCUUGCGACCGUACUACUCAGGCGGAUCACUUAACGCGUUAGCUACGACACAGAUCUUGCAAGCAAGACCCAUAUCUAGUGAUCAUCGUUUACGGCGUGGACUAC
rnacentral:misc_RNA from 1 species